rnacentral:rRNA from 1 species
GAUGUAACUUGUUCUAUUAUAUGUUAUUUGUACCGUAGGGGGUAUUGGAUUUUGUUUUUGUAAGCUAGUUUUGUCUGUUGUACCUUUUGUAUCAGGGUUUACUAAUUUUUAUUAUUUAUAUUUUAUUUCCCGAUUCUGGAGGAUUUAGGUGGACGUGGUUAGUUGUUGUUUUAUUAAUAUUAGUAAUGUUUACUUGGUAGUGAUAUGUUAAUCGUUUCUAGGGGUAUCUGGUUUUUCAAGAAGUGAAUUUAAUUCACGCUUUAUAUUUAGUUGUCAUUUUUAUUUGUUUAGUUUUAUUUGGAGUGAAGAUUUUGGGGGAUAAGCUUUAAUUUUUUGUUAUAAUGUUGUUGUAAGGGUUGCGUUGUGGGCUUUGUAUUGGCUAUCAAUUUGAGUAUAUUAAAAUUUUACUUCCUGUUGGUUGUAAUUUUUUGUUCAUUUAGUUUUGUAUUGGGAUGUUCAAUUGAAUUUUUUUGUUGUUGUAAUUUUGGUUGAAUUAGUAUAUUUGGUUUAUUGAGUUGUUUUAUUGACGUUAGGUUUUUUAGAGGAACUAGGCAAAGAUAUAAUGCCCGCCUGUUUAACAAAAACAUCUCUUCUAGUUGAUUAUUUGAGGUAUGGCCUGCCCACUGAUUGUAUUAAAGGGCCGCGGUAUUUUGACCGUGCAAAGGUAGCAUAAUCAUUAGUUCUUUAAUUGUGAGCUGGAAUGAAUGGUUUGACGAGGUAUUGACUGUCUUUAGGGAGUAGAAGUUGAAUUUGGUUUUUAGGUAAAAAUACUUAAAUUUUUUUAUGGGACGAGAAGACCCUAUAGAGUUUAACAUGACUUUUUCUGGUUUUGUUUGUUUGAUUACUUGAUUUGGUUUAGUGUUUUGUUGGGGUGAUGGGAGGGUAAGUUUAACCCCUCCUUUAUUUGUCUUCAUUGAUUUAUGUUUUUGUGAUCCUUUAUUAAUGAUUAGAAGAAUAAAUUACCUUAGGGAUAACAGCGUAAUCUUUUUUGAGAGUUCUUAUUGACAAGGGGGUUUGCGACCUCGAUGUUGGAUUAAGGUGAAUUUUUGGUGCAAAAGCUUUAGUAUAUAAUUAGGUCUGUUCGACCUUUAAAAUCUUACAUGAUCUGAGUUCAAACCGGCGUGAGCCAGGUUGGUUUCUAUCUAUAAUUUUUUGUGAUUUCUUAGUACGAGAGGACCAGGAGUUGGGAAUAAUUUUUGUUUGUUGAAUUUUAUUAAUUUAC